UAUAUGAAGGUGUAUAUAGUUUGGCCUGCUCACUGAUUAAAUUAAAGAGCCGCAGUAUUUUGACUGUGCGAAGGUAGCAUAAUAAAUUGUCUUUUAAAUAAAGGCUUGAAUGAAAGGUUGGACAAAGUAUCAUCUGUUUCUUAAAUAUUUAUUGAAUUUGACUUUUAAGUGAAAAGGCUUAAAUAAAUCAAAAAGACGAUAAGACCCUAUAAAUCUUUACAAUAAAUAUAUUUUAUAUUUUAGCUUAUAAGUGUAUAAGAAAUAAAAAUAUAGAUUUGUUGCGCUGGGGCGGCGUAGAUAUAUAAAUAAACUGUCUAUAAUUUAAAUACAAUAAUCAUUGUUUAAUACAAAUUGAUCCUUAAAUAGAUUAAAAGAUUAAGAUACUUUAGGGAUAACAGCGUUAUUUUUUUUGAGAGUUCUUAUCGAAGAAAAAGUUUGCGACCUCGAUGUUGAAUUAAAGUUUCUUUGUGGUGUAGCCGCUAUAAGAGAGAGUCUGUUCGACUUUUAAUACUUUACGUGAUCU
rnacentral:rRNA from 1 species